UUGGUUAGAAAAAAAGUCCAAAUUUCAUUAGAGUAAAGCAGUAUAAAUUUCAUUAGAAAGCCCAAUAAGGCUAAGAAGACUACGACGAGAAAAGCAAAAAAGAAGGCGUCCUCCACACCGUGUGUCAUGUACGAUGAUUCCAAAAACUAAGAAGAGGCUACCAUAUCCAACACAACAUGCAGCUCCAUAAGCUCCUACGCCCAACAAUAAGAAUCAAACUUUAGGGACCAGAACAGAAGAAUCAAGAUUGGGGAACUAAGAAACAUAAGCGGCAAUGGUUGGAAGUGGCAGACUCUUGGACAACAUUGAAUCAAAUAAUGCAUCAUUGCAUAAAACCAGCUCAAGAAAAUUGGAGGGCGAAACCCACUGCAUCAUUGUAGGUCCAACAGCUCAUACGAGAUGCUAAUGGGCUGGGUUUUGGUGGUUCCUUUGGGGCUCGAUGAUUGCUGUAAUUUUAUGAAUCUCAGGGACUUCUUUUU
rnacentral:lncRNA from 1 species